UGGGUGUUAUUUGUCCAUUUUUUGGCUUUUUUCGUUUUUUUUCUGUGUUUAAAAGGAAAAAAAGCAUAUGAAAAAAUACACUAGGGAGCUGAUAUUUCCUGCAGGAUACUAAAUCAUGUAGAAGUUCGAAAUGGCACCAUCCGGCAAUUUCUAACUUAUUGCAAACAGGCUGGGAAGAUUUGCACUAAACUCUUGUUAUUUUGCCAUUUUUUGGCUCAUUGACUCCCAUUAUAAAUCAUGAUUUUUAAUAUGCUGUAAACCUGAUGUUUUAUCAUGCAUUUUCCGUGAUUAUUGAUGCAAUCGCUUCUUUGGCGAGUCAAAAACAUGCAGAUAAAAAAAUUUUUGUGUUGACACCCAGAAGUCACUAGAUGGAGCCAUAGGCCAAUACAUGAAUUUUCUUGCGAAGCUAGCUUCAGAUCGGUCAAAAAUUAAUACAAUAAAGACGGUUGGCUUUACAAAAAAAAUGGUGUCAAUGUUGUCUGAGCUCACUUUCAGUCUAUUUGGGCAUGCGUAUUUGCAAUUUUGCACGUUUGCACAAGACAAUAAAAAGGUACUUCCCGGAAAUGCAAAAAAACCAAAACAAAAAACCACGUGUUUAUUGUUGUCGUUUGAAUUUCAACUUUUAUUGGUUGGGUGUUUGAAUUUCUUUACUCUCAUUGGUUCUGGGCAUUUUGGGAGUCUCUGUUCUCGCGAGGAUCACCAUUUUGCAUUUCUUCCAACACAACUUAUGAUCGAUGGCGGCGAGAAGUAUUUCACCGCAGGACACGAUUCGAAUGGUGUUAGAAAAUCCUGAUUCCGACGACGACGACCUUUGUUCGGACGCUUCUUUGGAGAGCCCAGAAGACAUUGAACAAAUUCUUCCGGACUUUCGAUGCCGGAGGAGGACGGCUUUGAUGACGAGGAUUAGGAAAUAGUUGACAACAUAACGAGAUGAAAGCGGGGAGCAGAAGGCGGGGGCACGGACAUGACCACGUUGAGGCGCAUGACGAAAAUGACGGCGAUCGAGGCCUGAGGCACAUACUCCUGCCGCCGGCGCGCACUCAGGUGGCCAAUGUGUGUUUUUUCACAUGCCGGACAUUUCGUCAUGCAGCGCGUUUGUGCUGUUCACGGAGAUCUACCCUCGUUUGUGCUGUUCACGGAGAUCUACCCUGAGUGGAACGUGAAGAAAAGCUACAAGCGCCGACUAUUUCUUGAGGAACUUGGCAAGGCUCUAAUUCGGCCAGAAGUCCUAAAACGGGAACCACCGCCUUCUGCCGAAGGCUUGGUUGAGCAGCGAGCUGGACCCCCGUCCAAGCGCAAACAAUGUGGCCUUUGCACAAAGCCACUUCGGGCUUCGAACAUAAUAAUAAAUAAUAAUACAUUUUAUUUAUAACGCACUUUACAUUUGAACAACAAAUCUCAAAGUGCACAUCAUGAAUUGUGUAUGUUGUUAUUAUGUUAACUGUUAUAUUGUAUGUAUGUUUUGUAAAAUUGUUAACAUAAAUUCUAUCAUCAAAUCA